UUAAAUCAAACUUAGCAUAUUUUCGUAUAGUCUUGUCUAAAUUUUGAUCAGUAUUACCAGUGAGUAUGAAUUCUUGUGUAAAUUUAUAAUUUGCUGACAAGUUGAAAGUACAGUAAAGUGAAUAUAUGUGGUGACAAACCGGUGACGACCGGGUGAUCUAAAUCAUUGAUGAGAUAUCAGUAGGGGUCAGCACAGUCUGAUAGCUUUCAAUGAUGAGAGAUCACUUUAAGGCCUAGGAUAGUCUCGAUAGGGAUCAGGAAUAGAGAUCAGUAGGGGAUAGUUAACUACUAUUCAUUAAACCUGGCGCCGAGGGGGACAAAUUGUAAUUUUGUCCUGUGGCCCGGUCUAGGCCAGUCUGAUAAGAGAUUCUCUGAUAAGGAUCGGACAUGUGUAAUAAACUCUGAUAGGGGUCAGCUCGAUAUGGAUCAGGAAUAGAGAUCAGUAGGGGAUAGUUAACUACUAUUCAUUAAACCUGGCGCCGAGGGGGACAAAUUGUAAUUUUGUCCUGCGGCCCGGUCUAGGCCAGUCUGAUAAGAGAUUCGCUGAUAAGGAUCGGCUUUCAGGGGUCAGAGAUAUAACGUGUUGUUUUGUCUUGUUUUGUCUAUUUGUAACUGUUUAUAUUAAAAUGCAAUGUGCUUGUAAUUGUUUCCAUUAAGAUUGUUGGUGGUUAGAUAGAGAGAGAGAGAGAGAGAAUUCAAUAAGGGUUAUUUGAUAAAUCCGAAACUUCUAUGUUGUAUGUACCUAUGACUUCUGUGUUAAAUGUAUAAUCAGGAACAAAAUGACUGAUGUAUAAUUGAAAUAAGAUCUGAGCACAAUAUUCAAUAUCAAGACUAAAUAGUCGAAUUGAUCUCUAUACAAACCCAUGCGUUUUUUCUCAAACUGAAUAUACGAGGGAGCAGCUCUGAGAUAAGGCAGAGUACGUGGCUCCAGGAAUUCAUCACGGGUAUUUACCAGUGACGGGCUAAGUAUACUCAGAUAGUCUGAAUAUAUAUUUCAAUUGGUCAAAAUAUACAUAUAUAUUUACUAAAAUAUACAAUAAAUGACAAAUGGUGACCCCGACGUGGUCUGGUAAAAGGACAUCGCUGGACAUUGGUGUGCCAGCCGAUUGGCCAGUACUGUCGUCGGACGGUGUGUCUCACAAAUCUUGACCGGUCAAAUAAAAAGGGUAAGCAGACACCUGUUGUGAAAAACUAAAGUUCUGCACAUUGGAGUUAUCCAAAUGUAGUUUUGUGAGAUACCUGUUUGAUGUAAGUUACUAAAUUUAAACUACAAUGAUGUGUGAGAUUGGAAAAUAGUUGAGAAAGUAAUAUCUCCAUUGGCAACUGCAAUUUUAUUAUUGAUCAACCAUACUUAAUGGUGCAUUGUGUAUGGGAUGUACUAGUAUGCCUGGCUGGUAGGUGGUAACAGAGAACACUUACUACAUGUAUGAAUGAUGGGUAACGGGUGGCCACCAAAGCUUGAAUGGAUAGUCUGGGACUACAUGUAUGAGUGGUGGGUAACGAGUGAUCAACUAAUUGGGGGCCGAUUUAGCCGUAGGGAAAGGGUAUCACUUGGGUUUCAGUAAAGGCAUGGGUUGUUGGCAGUAUUGUAGUGUACAUGGAAUGUCGUUGGAAAUGGAAAAGGUGUUGAGAGCGCUGAAGUCCACUCUAGGAUUAAAUAAAGGCAGAGAGGGCAAGGAGUGGAGGAGACGGGGUGAGAAGCUGUACAGAGAAUGGACAGAAGGUGGGGCUAUUGCAUCUCCUACUGGUCUGCUUGCUGGGGAGAAUGAAGAUUUGUGGAGCUGGUACCGGUGAGAAUGUUGAAAAAGUUGCAGGCUUGCUGAUGAGAGUUAUAUCAUAGAAUAUUGGGGGGUGUGCAUGACUGUUGGAAAAGGUGUUCAACUCUAUUAACGUAAAAUUCUGUGUGUAGAGUUAUAUUAUGAGGUUUGAACUAUACUAAUAUUGUAGAAUUACAUAAUCAACAUCUGAACAUACUUACGAUAAACAUUAAUUGAGCCACUGAGUAAUAGAUAAGAUAUACACUAGGUAAGGGGCGACGGGCGUGGUCGAUGUAAGACGGGAGUGGUGUUCUAACCAAGUGCUGAGAAAUAAGGAUUUUAUGCAUUACAGGUGAACUACAGGUGAAGUCACUCAAUCCAGUCCCAGAGGCUUGGGGACCAUAGAUGACCCCUGGUGACAGCUAGCUGAAAGAGCUACCCAGAUUCAUAUCGCACGGCGGAAGGGUAAGACACUUUUCACUGUCGGACAUUAAAACAGUGUUCGAGAGAAGAACUGGAAUUAACAGAAUUCCCGGGGGCCAACUCUCGAAUGAAGUAACCCUACCUGUCCUAUCACCCCUGUUUUUGUUCAUAGAAGUGAAGAUGUGUCUGGCUCUGGCUAAGUGAUGUGUAUUUUGUUCCAAAAUGAGCAUAAGAGAUCCCUAGAUCGGGGUAGACAAGAAGUUAGAGUAGAGAUUACAUGAUAACCGACUUCGGACAGUUCUAGGAUUGGAGAAGAGGGUAUCCUUAUAGCAAGGGGGAUCCCACAAGGGUGGAUAGGUUUUCCAUGAUAUGGGGAAACCUGGGAGCAAUGUUGAACUUUGUAAAGGUGAUGAAAUCCUACUAACCAUCAAAACUAUUAAGCUCUCUGAUGCAGGCACUCACACCCUCGGACUACAAAGGACGAGGACAGACAUGAUGGGUGUGUUUUCUAUUAAGGUACUGCCAAGACCAGAGGUAGCCGGACACACUCCUCUACCACCACUGUGUUAAAAAUACCAUUCAGGUAAUUAAUGUUAGAGACUAUUCGGCUAUUGAUCAAUUAGGAACUGAGACUGGUUUUGAUAGUAGGGACAAUUUGUGGCUGUCUUAUAUGAGGUACACAGCUAAAACCCUGAAAGGAAAGGACUGCAUUAUUUGUAGUCAUGCUAGACCUGUUCUGGCUACACACCCAUUUGCUGUAGGAGAAACAGAGGGGUGGUUGUGUAUUCUGAGAAGUUUUUACCAGGUUAAGCCCAAUUCAACCCUCUGUUCCUCUUUGAGCCUUGUGUUUCCUGCAGUACCUCCUCAUCGGGCCUCUUGGGGUGUUGAGGCAUAUGGGGGCAAUUAAGAGUGCAUCACGGGUACAGGUAAUGGCAUUGAUUAUGGGGGAUUGCCUGAAGCUGAUUGCAGUAGUAACAUAACCAUUAAUUCCACUUGGCCAGUUACAGGCUGAUGUGAGGUGGAUGAGUGGAGCCAAGAGUGCUGAGACCCAUUCUUAGAGGAGAAUGGCAAGGUACGUGUGCUCUGACCAGUUUGAUAAUUCCACUGACCAUUGUUGAUGUUACUGCUGAACAGCUGUUGGGUUCUGUAUCCAAGGGACCUGAAAACAUUCCAUCCCAUGGGAGACAUAGACGUAGCGCUCAGAGAAUGUAGUUGACAUAAACACUAACCUGUUGGGUGUGCCAGUGGGGGUUCCUCAUGAGUUUCAGGCCUUGGGUAGGAAUGAUGGACUCUGGCACUUACUACCUACUAUGGGUCCAGCCAUGGUGGAUGCUAGACAGACUGCAUGGAUUAAUUAUAUCUACUAUAAUCAACAGUGGUUUGUGAAUUACUCCCGUGAUGCACUCACUGGUAUGUCUGAACAGCUUGAGGCCACAUUUGGGGUUUCCAGACAGAAUAGACUUGCCUUGGAUAUGCUUCUUGCCAGUCAGGGGGACGUUUGCAAGAUGUUCGGUAAACAAUGUUGCACGUAUAUUCCUAAUAAUACCAGUCCAGAUGAUAUCUAGGGCGGGCUUGAUGCACUAUCUGAUAAGAUGAGGUCCACAGGGGGGUGGAGGAGUCUGUUCUCUUGGCCUGGUUUGGUAAGUACACUGAUAUGAUGGUUACUGGAUUUCUGACCUAAUUCUUGUAUUAUUUGUUAUUGAUGUGAUGUGCUGCUUGCAUCAUACCGUGUUCUAAGAAAUAUGUUACAGAUAUGGUGAAGGCUUCAGGCAUGUUGCCUUUGCUUGAUGCUCCAGUUGGAGAUGCCGAUACGGAAGCAUGCUUUCAGGAGAGGAUGGGACUGACUGAGGAUGACCCAUGGUAUGCUGUGGGUGAGGUAUUAGAAUAAUUUUACACCACCACAGUUCCUUGUUAUAAAUUUUUAUGAUAGGUUUUCUUUCCAGUAUGUUUGUUCUCCCUGUUGUAAAGGUUUAGAGUCCCUGGGUGGCAAGGAGCCCACCUGGUACAGGAUAGGAGUAGCUGAGAGGACCAGAUGGUUUCUAAUAAUUCUUUCCUCUGUUUUCCAUGACCAAAGUUUUAUCCUACAUCUUACAUGUCAAUAACAAUAAAGUUUUAUCCUGUUUUUGAUAAGUGACACCCUUGUGGGUGACAAAAGGGGGAAACGCAUAUAACAAUAGACAUAUAUCACUUGUUAUUAAUAAUAAACUUUUUAUUAUUUUCAUGAAAUGCUAUGACUGCUGAAAUAAAGGAUAAUGAGUGUCAAAAGGGGGACUUAAAUUUCA